rnacentral:rRNA from 1 species
GUACACGCUGUGACUAGCAUAUCAAUAAGCGGAGGAAAAGAAACUAACAAGGAUUCCCUCAGUAACGGCGAGUGAAGCGGGAAGAGCUCAAAUUUGAAAUCUUAAAGGGUUUCCCUUUACGAAUUGUAGUUUAAAGAAGUGUUUUCUGUUGAGGUUUUGGUAAAAGUUCUUUGGAAUAGGACAUCAUAGAGGGUGAGAAUCCCGUAUUUGACCAUUAUUUUCAGCUUUGUGAUACACUUUCAAAGAGUCGGAUUGUUUGGGAAUGCAGUCCAAAAUGGGUGGUAAAUUUCAUUCUAAGGCUAAAUAUUGGCGAGAGACCGAUAGCGAACAAGUACCGUGAGGGAAAGAUGAAAAGAACUUUGAAAAGAGAGUUAAAUAGUACGUGAAAUUGUCAAAAGGGAAGCGUUUAACACCAGUGUUGUUUUCUGAAAAUCAACCUCUGUUAGCUUUAUGCAUGUUUGUUUAGACCUAAUCAGCUAUCUUGCAUGUUCUAUUGUUUGCAGUGGUGCACUUUUCAGUUUACAGGUCAACAUCAGUUUUUUUUUACCGUAAAAAAGUUAAAGAAAGGUAGCUCAUGGCUCCGGUCGUGAGUGUUAUAGUCUUUUUCCUAUGCGGUAGGAGAGACUGAGGUCUGCAGUGUAGGCUAUUUGGCUAGAUACUCAGGUGCUAUGUGAUACCAUUUCAUAAACAACUUGUUGAUUAUGUUUUGUCUAUUGCAUACUCGCUUGUACUAUCAUACCUACGCUUAGGAUGUUGAACUACUGAGACAUAG